AAAUCCUACCUGGGGAGUCAUGCUUGCUUAGCUCAGAGGUAGAGCAUCUCGUUUACACCGAGGCGGUCGGCG
rnacentral:tRNA from 1 species